UGGCGGACGGGUGAGAAACACGUGGGUAACCUGCCCAUCAGAAGGGGAUAACACUUGGAAACAGGUGCUAAUACCGUAUAACAAUCGAAACCGCAUGGUUUUGAUUUGAAAGGCGCUUUCGGGUGUCGCUGAUGGAUGGACCCGCGGUGCAUUAGCUAGUUGGUGAGGUAACGGCUCACCAAGGCCACGAUGCAUAGCCGACCUGAGAGGGUGAUCGGCCACAUUGGGACUGAGACACGGCCCAAACUCCUACGGGAGGCAGCAGUAGGGAAUCUUCAGCAAUGGACGAAAGUCUGACCGAGCAACGCCGCGUGAGUGAAGAAGGUUUUCGGAUCGUAAAACUCUGUUGUUAGAGAAGAACAAGGAUGAGAGUAACUGUUCAUCCCUUGACGGUAUCUAACCAGAAAGCCACGGCUAACUACGUGCCAGCAGCCGCGGUAAU
rnacentral:rRNA from 1 species